rnacentral:tRNA from 1 species
GCUCUAGUAGCUUAGAAUAAAAGCAUUGGUCUUGUAAUCCAAAGAUCGGAGGUUAAACUCCUCCCUAGCGCC